GCUAUACAUGCAGUCGAGCGAACAGACAAGGAGCUUGCUCCUUUGACGUUAGCGGCGGACGGGUGAGUAACACGUGGGUAACCUACCUAUAAGACUGGGAUAACUUCGGGAAACCGGAGCUAAUACCGGAUAAUAUUUCGAACCGCAUGGUUCGAUAGUGAAAGAUGGUUUUGCUAUCACUUAUAGAUGGACCCGCGCCGUAUUAGCUAGUUGGUAAGGUAACGGCUUACCAAGGCGACGAUACGUAGCCGACCUGAGAGGGUGAUCGGCCACACUGGAACUGAGACACGGUCCAGACUCCUACGGGAGGCAGCAGUAGGGAAUCUUCCGCAAUGGGCGAAAGCCUGACGGAGCAACGCCGCGUGAGUGAUGAAGGUCUUCGGAUCGUAAAACUCUGUUAUUAGGGAAGAACAUACGUGUAAGUAACUGUGCACGUCUUGACGGUACCUAAUCAGAAAGCCACGGCUAACUACGUGCCAGCAGCCGCGGUAAUACGUAGGUGGCAAGCGUUAUCCGGAAUUAUUGGGCGUAAAGCGCGCGUAGGCGGUUUUUUAAGUCUGAUGUGAAAGCCCACGGCUCAACCGUGGAGGGUCAUUGGAAACUGGAAAACUUGAGUGCAGAAGAGGAAAGUGGAAUUCCAUGUGUAGCGGUGAAAUGCGCAGAGAUAUGGAGGAACACCAGUGGCGAAGGCGACUUUCUGGUCUGUAACUGACGCUGAUGUGCGAAAGCGUGGGGAUCAAACAGGAUUAGAUACCCUGGUAGUCCACGCCGUAAACGAUGAGUGCUAAGUGUUAGGGGGUUUCCGCCCCUUAGUGCUGCAGCUAACGCAUUAAGCACU
rnacentral:rRNA from 1 species